rnacentral:rRNA from 1 species
AGUUUGAUCCUGGCUCAGAUUGAACGCUGGCGGGAUGCUUUACACAUGCAAGGCAAGUCGAACGGCAGCACGGACUUCGAUCUGGUGGCGAGUGGCGAACGGGUGAGUAAUGUAUCGGAACGUGCCUAGUAGCGGUGAUAACUACGCGAAAGCGUAGCACAAUGCGUCACACCCUUCGGGGGAAAGCGGGGGACCUUCGGGCCUCGCACUAUUAGAGCGGCUGAUAUCGGAUUAGCUAGUUGGUGGGGUAACGGCUCACCAAGGCGACGAUCCGUAGCUGGUUUGAGAGGACGACCAGCCACACUGGGACUGAGACACGGCCCAGACUCCUACGGAGGCAGCAGUGGGGAAUUUUGACAAUGGGGGAAAUCCUGAUCCAGCCAUCCCGCGUGUGCGAUGAAGGCCUUCGGGUUGUGAAAGCACCCUUGGCAGGAAAGAACGGCACGGGAUAAUACCCCGUGCAACUGACUGUACCUGCAGAAUAAGCACCGGCUAACUACGCCAGCAGCUGCGGUAAUACGUGGGUGCAAGCGUUAAUCGGAAUUACUGGGCGUAAAGCGUGCGCAGGCGAAGUCUGAAAGAAAGAUGUGAAAUCCCAGAGCUUAACUUUGGAACUGCAUUUUUAACUACCGAGCUUAUGUGUCAGAGGGAGGAAUUCGCGUAGCAGUGAAAUGGUGUAGAUAUGUGAGGAACACCGAUGGCGAAGGCAGCCUCUCAGAUAACACUGACGCUCAUGCACGAAAGCGUGGGGAGCAAACAGGAUUAGAUACCCUGGUGGUCCACGCCCUAAACGAUGUCAACUAGCUGUUGGGGCCUUCGGGCCUUGGUAGCGCAGUGCCACGCGUGAAGUUGACCGCCUGGGGAGUACGGUCGCAAGAUUAAAACUCAAAGGAAUUGAUUUGGGACCCGCACAAGCGGUGGAUGAUGUGGAUUAAUUCGAUGCAACGCGAAAACCUUACCUACCCUUGACAUGUCUGGAAUCCCGAAGAGAUUUGGGAGUGCUCGCAAGAGAACUGGAACACAGGUGCUGCAUGGCUGUCGUCAGCUCGUGUCGUGAGAUGUUGGGUUAAGUCCCGCAACGAGCGCAACCUUUGUCAUUAGUUGCUAUGAAAGGGCACUCUAAUGAGACUGCUGGCACAAACCGGAGGAAGGUGAUGACCGUCAAGUCCUCAUGGCCCCUUAGGUAGGGCUUCACACGUCAUACAAUGGUCGGGACAGAGUGGUCGCCAACCCGCGAGGGGGAGCUAAUCCCAGAAAACCCGAUCGUAGUCCGGGAUCGCAGUCUGCAACCUGACCGCGCAGCCGGAAUCGCUAGUAAUCGCGGAUCAGCAUGUCGCGGUGAAUACGUUCCCGGUCUUGUACACACUGCCCGUCACACCAUGGGAGUGGGUUUUACCAGAAGUAGUUAGCUCAACCGUAAGGAGGGCGAUUACCACGGCAGGAUUCAUGACUGUGAAGUCAGCCACCUGAUGCUCCUA